rnacentral:rRNA from 1 species
UACGUAGGCAGCAAGCGUUGUUCGGAAUUACUGGGCGUAAAGAGUGUGUAGGCGGUGUUCCAAGUCUGGUGUGAAAUCUCCCGGCUUAACUGGGAGGGUGCAUUAGAAACUGGAAUGCUAGAGGAUGGGAGAGGUAAGCGGAAUUCCUGGUGUAGCGGUGAAAUGCGCAGAUAUCGGGAAGAACACCCGUGGCGAAGGCGGCUCUCUGGGACGGUACUGACGCUGAGACGCGAAAGCGUGGGGAGCGAACAGG